rnacentral:rRNA from 1 species
ACGGAAGGCAGCAGCUAAGAAUAUUCCGCAAUGGACGAAAGUCUGACGGAGCGACGCCGCGUGGAUGAUGAAGGCCGGAAGGUUGUAAAAUCCUUUUAAGUGUGAAGAAUUAGCGAGGGCAGGGAAAACCCAUGUGGGGAAGGUAGCACUUCAAUAAGCAACGGCUAAUUACGUGCCAGCAGCCGCUGUAACUCGUAAGUUGCGAGCGUUGUUCGGAAUUAUUGGGCGUAAAGGGCAUGUAGGCGGUUUUGCAAGCUUGGUGUGAAAUUCCGGAGCUCAACUCCGGAACUGCGUUGAGAACUGCAUAACUAGAGUCACUGAGGGGCAAUCAGAAUUCCAGGUGUAGGGGUGAAAUCUGUAGAUAUCUGGAAGAAUACCAAUGGCGAAGGCAGGUUACCAGCAGAUGACUGACGCUGAGGUGCGAAGGUGCGGGGAGCAAACAGGAUUAGAUACCCUGGUA